UUGACCUCGGAUCAGGCAGGGAUACCCGCUGAACUUAAGCAUAUCAAUAAGCGGAGGAAAAGAAACCAACAGGGAUUGCCUCAGUAACGGCGAGUGAAGCGGCAACAGCUCAGAAUUUGAAAUCUGGCUCUUUCAGGGUCCGAGUUGUAAUUUGUAGAGGAUGCUUCGGCGUGGGCUCCGGUCUAAGUUCCUUGGAACAGGACGUCAUAGAGGGUGAGAAUCCCGUAUGUGAUCGGCUGCCUUUGCCAUGUGAAGCUCCUUCGACGAGUCGAGUUGUGUGGGACUGCAGCUCUAAAUGGGACGUAAAUUUCUUCUAAAGCUAAGUACUGGCCAGAGACCGAUAGCGCACAAGUAGAGUGAUCGAAAGAUGAAAAGCACUGUGGGAAGAGAGUCCAAAAGUACGUGAAAUUGUUGAAAGGGAA
rnacentral:rRNA from 1 species